rnacentral:rRNA from 1 species
AAUAUUGUACAAUGGGGGCAACCCUGAUCCAGCCAGGCCGCGUGUGUGAAGAAUGUCUUCGGUUUGUAACUCACUUUAAGUUGGGAGGAAGGGCUUUAGGUUAAUACCCUGAAGUUUUGACGAUACAAACAGAAUAAGCACCGGCUAAAUCUGGGCUAGCAGUCUCGGUAAUACAGAGGGUGCAGGCGUUAAUCGGAAUGACUGGGCGUAAAGCGCGCGCAGGUGGUUCAGUAAGAUAGGUGUGAAAUCACCGGGCUUAACCAGGCCACUGCUUUCAUAACUGCUGAGCUAGAGUACGGUAGAGAGUAGUGGAAUUUCCUGUGUAGCGGUGAAAUGCGUAGAUAUAGGAAGGAACAACAGUGGCGAAGGAGACUACCUGGACUGAUACUGACACUGAGGUGCGAAAGCGUGGGGAGCAAACA